AGCCUCCAGCAAUGGACAAAGAGACAAGGACUUGUUGGUGGCGGUGUUCUUAUAUCAGUCAGGGGCAGAGCAGAUGGCAGUCCUUUUGUUCAUCCUAGCUUGAGGCUCAGUUUGGUGGCCAGAGCUAUCUUAUGCCUAGAACGCAUAG
rfam:Mus musculus chromosome 18, GRC primary reference assembly.